GUUUGUACAGAAAAAAUUUAAAGGAUGAUAAAGAAGGAGCUAAGCGAAUAGGGACGGGAAGUGAGUUGAAAAGAAACUUCAAAAUGUUUGUCACUUAAAAUUGAUGCAUGAGCCGAGCCGGGGUUUAUCAUUCUUUGAGAAUACAAACAAUAAAGCUAGAUUUUCCGGUUAUAAAAGGCUUGUGGCUUCUGUGUUUUCCUCAUUUUUAAUUUAGUCGCGACGAAAUGAAGUAUUUUGUUAUAUUUGCUUUGCUAGCAUUGUCUUUUAAAGAUGUUUUUGGUGGCACGCUUUUGGUUCCUGGAAUAGAUCCAGCUCGUACAACAACGAAAAAGCCUUGGACUACUAAGAUUAAAAAUGGAUUGGAUACAUUCUUCCAGGGAGCAGCAGCAGCGAGUAUUUUACAACAAGCUAUUCACAACGGAAAACACUCCAAACAGCAUAAUACUGAUCCUAAAGCUCAUAAAAUAAAUAAUUAAUAUUA